AAAACGACUCUCGGCAACGGAUAUCUCGGCUCUCGCAUCGAUGAAGAACGUAGCGAAAUGCGAUACUUGGUGUGAAUUGCAGAAUCCCGUGAACCAUCGAGUCUUUGAACGCAAGUUGCGCCCCAAGCCUUCUGGCCGAGGGCACGUCUGCCUGGGUGUCACAAAUCGUCGUCCCCCCCAUCCUUUUGGAUAAGGGACGG
rnacentral:rRNA from 1 species